rnacentral:tRNA from 1 species
UGGGGAAUAGUUUAAGGGUAGAACAGCGGACUCUGACUCCGCUAGUCUUGGUUCGAAUCCGUGGUUCCCCAGCCA